UUAGGUAACAUCAAAUCGUACCCCAAACCGACACAGGUGGUCAGGUAGAGAAUACCAAGGCGCUUGAGAGAACUCGGGUGAAGGAACUAGGCAAAAUGGUGCCGUAACUUCGGGAGAAGGCACGUUGAUAUGUAGGUGAAGCGACUUGCUCGUGGAGCUGAAAUCAGUCGAAGAUACCAGCUGGCUGCAACUGUUUAUUAAAAACACAGCACUGUGCAAACACGAAAGUGGACGUAUACGGUGUGACGCCUGCCCGGUGCCGGAAGGUUAAUUGAUGGGGUCAGCGCAAGCGAAGCUCUUGAUCGAAGCCCCCGUAAACGGCGGCCGUAACUAUAACGGUCCUAAGGUAGCGAAAUUCCUUGUCGGGUAAGUUCCGACCUGCACGAAUGGCGUAAUGAUGGCCAGGCUGUCUCCACCCGAGACUCAGUGAAAUUGAACUCGCUGUGAAGAUGCAGUGUACCCGCGGCAAGACGGAAAGACCCCGUGAACCUUUACUAUAGCUUGACACUGAACAUUGAGCCUUGAUGUGUAGGAUAGGUGGGAGGCUUUGAAGUGUGGACGCCAGUCUGCAUGGAGCCGACCUUGAAAUACCACCCUUUAAUGUUUGAUGUUCUAACGUGGACCCGUGAUCCGGGUUGCGGACAGUGUCUGGUGGGUAGUUUGACUGGGGCGGUCUCCUCCUAAAGAGUAACGGAGGAGCACGAAGGUUGGCUAAUCCUGGUCGGACAUCAGGAGGUUAGUGCAAUGGCAUAAGCCAGCUUGACUGCGAGCGUGACGGCGCGAGCAGGUGCGAAAGCAGGUCAUAGUGAUCCGGUGGUUCUGAAUGGAAGGGCCAUCGCUCAACGGAUAAAAGGUACUCCGGGGAUAACAGGCUGAUACCGCCCAAGAGUUCAUAUCGACGGCGGUGUUUGGCACCUCGAUGUCGGCUCAUCACAUCCUGGAGCUGAAGUAGGUCCCAAGGGUAUGGCUGUUCGCCAUUUAAAGUGGUACGCGAGCUGGGUUUAGAACGUCGUGAGACAGUUCGGUCCCUAUCUGCCGUGGGCGCUGGAGAACUGAGGGGGGCUGCUCCUAGUACGAGAGGACCGGAGUGGACGCAUCACUGGUGUUCGGGUUGUCAUGCCAAUGGCACUGCCCGGUAGCUAAAUGCGGAAGAGAUAAGUGCUGAAAGCAUCUAAGCACGAAACUUGCCCCGAGAUGAGUUCUCCCUGACUCCUUGAGAGUCCUGAAGGAACGUUGAAGACGACGACGUUGAUAGGCCGGGUGUGUAAGCGCAGCGAUGCGUUGAGCUAA
rnacentral:rRNA from 1 species